AGGUUUUCGGAUCGUAAAGCUCUGUUGUUAGGGAAGAACAAGUACCGUUCGAAUAGGGCGCCGCGUGAGUGAUGAGUACCUUGACGGUACCUAACCAGAAAGCCACGGCUAACUACGUGCCAGCAGCCGCGGUAAUACGUAGGUGGCAAGCGUUGUCCGGAAUUAUUGGGCGUAAAGGGCUCGCAGGCGGUUUCUUAAGUCUGAUGUGAAAGCCCCCGGCUCAACCGGGGAGGGUCAUUGGAAACUGGGGAACUUGAGUGCAGAAGAGGAGAGUGGAAUUCCACGUGUAGCGGUGAAAUGCGUAGAGAUGUGGAGGAACA
rnacentral:rRNA from 2 species